rnacentral:lncRNA from 1 species
AAACCUCACCCUCCUCUUGUGCCUGUUUAUAAACCACCUGUAUACGUGAAACCUCACCCUCCUCCUGUGCCUGUCUAUAAACCACCUGUAUAUGUGAAACCUCACCCUCCUCCUGUGCCUGUCUAUAAGCCUCCUAUUAUUCCAGUUACUAAACCGCUUCCACCACCGGUUCCGUUCAAGAAACCAUGUCCACCAAAGAUUGAGCAUCCAAUUCUACCACCUGUUCCAAUAUAUAAACCUCCAAUAGUUCCAAAGCCACCGGUGGUUCCGAUCGUCAAGCCACUUCCUCCUCCAGUUCCAAUUUACAAACCACCAGUUGUCACUAAACCUUUUCCUCCAUUCAAGAAACCACCAUGUCCACCAAAGAUUGAGCAUCCAAUUCUACCACCUGUUCCAAUAUAUAAACCUCCAGUAGUUCCAAAACCACCGGUGGUUCCGAUCGUCAAGCCACUUCCUCCUCCAGUUCCAAUUUACAAAC